UACGAAGGGGGGCUAGCGUUGCUCGGAAUCACUGGGCGUAAAGGGUGCGUAGGCGGGUCUUUAAGUCAGGGGUGAAAUCCUGGAGCUCAACUCCAGAACUGCCUUUGAUACUGAAGAUCUUGAGUUCGGGAGAGGUGAGUGGAACUGCGAGUGUAGAGGUGAAAUUCGUAGAUAUUCGCAAGAACACCAGUGGCGAAGGCGGAUCUCUGGACAGCUCCUGACGCUGAGGCGCGAAGGCUAGGGGGAGCAAACGGGG
rnacentral:rRNA from 1 species